rnacentral:rRNA from 1 species
UACGUAGGGGGCAAGCGUUGUCCGGAUUUAUUGGGCGUAAAGAGCGUGUAGGCGGUUGGGUAGGUCCGUUGUGAAAACUCGAGGCUCAACCUCGAGACGCCGAUGGAAACCCCCCAGCUAGAGUCCGGAAGAGGAGAGUGGAAUUCCUGGUGUAGCGGUGAAAUGCGCAGAUAUCAGGAAGAACACCGGUGGCGAAGGCGGGUCUCUGGGCCGAUACUGACGCUGAGGAGCGAAAGCGUGGGGAGCGUACAGG